rnacentral:rRNA from 1 species
GUCCUUGCCGUAAACGAUGUGGAUUAGGUGUCGGGGGUGUCGAUCCCUCCGGUGCCGACGCUAACGCAUUAAAUCCACCACCUGGGGAGUACGGCCGCAAGGCUGAAACUCAAAGAAAUUGACGGGGACCCGCACAAGCGGUGGAGCAUGUGGUUUAAUUCGAGGCUACGCGAAGAACCUUACCCAGGCUUGACAUGUAGUUGUAAACUAAUGAAAGUUAGUCCCUUCGCAAGAAGCGAUUACACAGGUGCUGCAUGGCUGUCGU